rnacentral:lncRNA from 1 species
AAGAGGCAGAAUUUUUCAGGCAGUUAAGAUAUCAGUUUUGCUUUUUGCUUUUUUAAAAUUUUAACUAGAUAUGCUCAUGUAAUGCUUCUACUGCACCCCUUGAAUUUAGAAAGAUGGAUCCUCUUAGUUUAUGCCAGAAGAACCCAGUCCUACUCAUGGCUUAUCAGAAACACAUGCGGCUCCCAAAGGUUGGAGUAAAUAUUUAUUUAUUUUCCCUUUGAGCCACUUUUCAACAAGUACUGGCUCAAUACUGUGUGGGCACACAGAAGCCUCUUCUGCUUGCUCUCCUAUCCUCUCACCUUCUCUGCUUUCAUUUCCCCCAGGGCCCCAGCUUCAUCCUGUCACUGCUGCUGGACCAGAGCCAGUGAAGGCCAUCUCUUAGGGCUCCCCACAACUCCUUAACUGAGGUCCUGUUUGCCUCUGUUUUUAAAUUCUUCAGGUAGGGCAUCCACCACAUAAGCCAGCCUCUUUUGAGCUAAAACCAAUCACCUUCCAUAGGAUAAUUUGUAUUUCAUACAAAAGACCCUCUCCCCACGAAGCCAGAACAGGGAGGGACAAUGGGGGUGGACACUGGGUUGAAUCUACAGAAAAUAUAUGGAAGAAUUUCCUACUCAAGUCCCCACACUGAAGCCUGGCAUAGAGGCCAUUCCGUGGCUUUCUUUAUAAGGUCACCCAACACGAAGCUUAAGCCCCUGAGGUCUAAUUAGGAGGGUUAAGCGUUUAACAGAGGAUUCACAUUGCUGAAGAGCAACUGGAUGGAAGCAUCAUCCUCUGCCCCCCUCGGCAUUCUAAUUCUAACAGCAUUGAAAGUCCUGUCAUCCCCGUGAGUCAGUGAGCAGCCAGGCUCAGUCUGUCCCUGUGACACCCAUCACUGGAUGUGUUUGGCUUUGCCGGCCAUAUGGCAGCUCAGAAGAGCUCUUUUGUAGUUUGAUGGUCUGGAAACUACUAAGGUUCUCUUGACAUUCUGUGUUGCUGGCUCGUUUCUGUUUGGGAAGAGCGGAUGCUGCUAGGGCUUACCUUGCCCUUGACUCUACUGAGGGAGCAUUAUGAACCAAUCAUUUUCAUCGCUCAAGCGGGAUUAUCUUAACCUGCAAGGCAGAUGGUUUUUGAGCACUUGGCUGAUGCCUGAUGCCCAAUUGGGAUUAAUCUCCACAUCCUAACAAGAGGAACGACUAUUUCUCAGGGAACAGAAGCGGAGGUGCAUUCAGGCCAUAUGUGUAACUUUGGGAUCAGCUUUCUGUGAUGAAACUGGAAGCGAAUCCCAGAUGAGAGGCUCAACUGUUUCAGAAGAACAUUGCAAAGCCCAGCGCGCCUAACCAAGUUGUCACACACAGAGCAGAACUAUUGAUGAGAGCCAUCCAACAUCUGUUGCCUGGGUAACCAUCAAUCCACUAAGCCGGCUCUGAGUCAUAAAUGGCGUGGGGAGAAGAUCUGCUGGGACAGAGGGCAGCGCAAACUCUUUUCAUCCUUCCCCAUCUCCAGAUGUGGCCUACGGCUGCCACACAAGGUUAAUAGAAGCCUAUUAUCAAAUCCCUACAGACCUAAAAGAAACCCUCUUUCCCUGACCCUCACUCAAAGUUUCUUGGACCUCCAUUAGUUUUUUCACAAAACCUCCCCAGAUUCUUAACAGUGCUUAGCAUAUUACCAUUGCUAAGCAGCACUACUCAAAAUGCCAGUCUGCUGAUUGGUGCUACGUUAUUCCACACCAGCAUCUGGCUCCCAGCCCGCACUUGGAGUAGCACUGGGCUAGAGCACCUACUCCUUAGGACCACUGUGGUAGCCAGUCAGAGCUCACACACUUACCGUGACUUUCACUUGGGACUUUGGUAACGGGAAAACCUACUACAUGGUUCUCCUUUCAUGUAUUCCAUCACAUCCAAUAUGCUGAACACAAUGUAGAGAGAAAAAUGAAUAAUAUGCCUUUGCAGAGUAACUAGUUCUAGUUCUCUAAAAAUACUCCAGGAUGUAUUCCCAAAAGAACUGAAAAUAAUUUUCAAGCAAAAACUUAUACAUAAAUGUUCAUAGCAGCGCUAUUUACCACAGCCAAAAGGUGGAAACAACCCAAAUGUCCAUCAGUGGAUGAAAGGACAAGCAAAAUGUAGUAUAUAAAGAAAAUAUAGUACCCACAGUUCCAUCACCCAAAACCAAAUACUGUUCACAUCUUGUUUCAGUUUAUGUUCCAUAGUAAUAAUUCAUUCUGCAUAUAUAAUUUAUAUUUUGUUUUCAAACUUUAUGUUAUUUCCAAAGUAUUGCCUGUGUUCCAUAAGUUUCAUGAGCUUAAACUACCAGGUAGAGGUUCCUGAUACAUAUUUCUUAAAUUGCUUCUUAAUAUUGUACUAAUUUAUACUGACCCCCGUAAUAUAUGAAAAUAUCUAUUUCACAUACAUCCUUGCUAGAAUUGACUAGUCUCCUAAAAAAGAAAAGAGAUUACUACAUGAUUGUUUUAAUACUUUCUUUGAUCGUUAGUAAGGUUGUCACUCUACAACUUUAUUCUGUUUUGAAAAAACAAAUAAAUGUUUAGUAGAGACUUCUCUAUGCUUUGUUUUUGUCAGAGUACAUAACAACUAGUCAUUACUGUUUGGGGGAGAACCCAAUGGUAAAUGCUUUAAAAUACUAGACUAAACUAGACACAGUUGUCUCUGAAGAAAGAACCAGAGAAUUGGAAGGCUGAUAUGAUCAAAUUACCUAGAAUGCAAUACUGAGCAGAGAUAGAAAAUAUGAAAAAUAAGAACAUAGAAGUCAA